rnacentral:rRNA from 1 species
CAGUAGCCACGGUAAUACGAAGGGGGCUAGCGUUGUUCGGAAUUACUGGGCGUAAAGGGCGCGUAGGCGGCCAUUCAAGUUAGAUGUGAAAGCCCUGGGCUCAACCUAGGAAUUGCAUUUGAUACUGUUUGGCUUGAGUUCGGGAGAGGUGAGUGGAAUUCCCAGUGUAGAGGUGAAAUUCGUAGAUAUUGGGAGGACACCAGUGGCGAAGGCGGCUCACUGGCUCAUACUGGACGCUGAGGUGCGAAAGCGUGGGGAGCAAACAGGAUUAGAUACCCCAGUAGUCCCUGUCUCUUAUACA